CGGUAGAGAGAAGCUUGCUUCUCUUGAGAGCGGCGGACGGGUGAGUAAUGCCUAGUGAAUCUGCCUGGUAGUGGGGGAUAACGUKCGGAAACGGACGCUAAUACCGCAUACGUCCUACGGGAGAAAGCAGGGGACCUUCGGGCCUUGCGCUAUCAGAUGAGCCUAGGUCGGAUUAGCUAGUUGGUGAGGUAAUGGCUCACCAAGGCGACGAUCCGUAACCUGGUCUGAGAGGAUGAUCAGUCACACUGGAACUGAGACACGGUCCAGACUCCUACGGGAGGCAGCAGUGGGGAAUAUUGGACAAUGGGCGAAAGCCUGAUCCAGCCAUGCCGCGUGUGUGAAGAAGGUCUUCGGAUUGUAAAGCACUUUAAGUUGGGAGGAAGGGUUGUAGAUUAAUACUCUGCAAUUUUGAC
rnacentral:rRNA from 1 species